GAUGAACGCUAGCGGCAGGCUUAAUACAUGCAAGUCGUGGGGCAGCAGGACUGUAGCAAUCCAGUUGCUGGCGACCGGCACACGGGUGCGGAACACGUACGCAACUUACCCUGAACUGGGGGAUAGACCGGGGAAACCCGGAUUAAUACCCCGUAAUAUAAUGGAGUGGCAUCACUUUAUUAUUAAAGCUCCGGCGGUUCGGGAUGGGCGUGCGGCUGAUUAGGUAGUUGGUUGAGGUAACGGCUCACCAAGCCUACGAUCAGUAACUGGUGUGAGAGUACGACCAGUCACACGGGGACUGAGACACGGGCCCGACUCCUACGGGAGGCAGCAGUAAGGUAUAGUGGGCAGUGGAGGCCACUCUGACCCAGCCAUGCCGCGUGGAGGAUGACGGCCCUCUGUGUUGUAAACUUCUUUUAUAGGGGACGCAACCUGUGUAUUCUUACGCAGUUGACGGUACCCUAGGAAUAAGCCACGGCUAACUCCGUG
rnacentral:rRNA from 1 species